GAAAAGUGCGGGCGAGGGGCCGCGGGAGGACGGAGGGGGCAAGGGUUAAUCGGAAUGAGUGGGCGGAAAGCGCGCGCAGGGGGUUGGAUAAGUCAGAUGUGAAAGCCCCGGUCUCAACCUGGGAACUGCAUGUGAAACUGUCCGGCUAGAGUCUUGUAGAGGGGGGUAGAAUUCCAGGUGUAGCGGUGAAAUGCGUAGAGAUCUGGAGGAAUACCGGUGGCGAAGGCGGCCCCCUGGACAAAGACUGACGCUCAGGUACGAAAGCGUGGGGAGCAAACAGGAUUAGAUACCCGUGUAGUC
rnacentral:rRNA from 1 species